ensembl:lncRNA
ACAGAUAAGUUGUGUCUUUGCAACAACCCAAGGAUUGUCACUUGUUUUAAGGGACUGGCCUCACUGCCGGGAAGAAGGAAGAACUCUUCUGGAUUUGGCUGUUCUUUAGCUAAGGAAGGCUACGGAGAAGAAACAUCCAGAAAAGAAAAACCAAAAUGCAUUCCCACACUGACCUUUGGAUGUGAGGAGCAAUGUCAUUUGCAAAGAUGCUAUAGUAUAUACCAUACGUUGUCUAUCCAUUCAUCUGUCGAUGGACAUUUAAGUUGUUUCCAUGUCUUGGCUAUUGUAAAUAGUGCUGCUAUGAACACAGGAAUGCAUGUAUCUUUUAGAAUUAUGGUUUUGAUUGGGUAUAUGCCUAGUAGUGGGAUUGAUAACUCUAUUUUUAGAUUUUUUAAUGGAACCUUCAUACUGUUUUACAUAAUGGCUGUACUAAUUUACAUUUCCACCAACGGUGUAAAAGGAUUCCUUUUUCUCCAUAUUCUUUCCAACAUUUAUUAUUUGUAGACUUUAUAAUGAUGUUUAUUCUGACUGGUGUGAAGUAGUAUCUCAUUGUAGUUUUGAUUUACAAUUCUUUAGUAAUUAGCAGUGAUGAACAUCUUUUCAUGUGUCUAUUGGCCUUCUGUAUGUCUUCUUUGGAGAAAUAUCUAUUUAACUCUCUGCCCAUUUUUCUAUUGGGUUGUUUUUUGUUGUUGUUACUGAGUUGUAGGAGCUGCUUGUAUAUCUUGGAAAUAAGUCCUUGUCAAUCAUAUCAUUUGCAAAUAUUUUCUCCCAGUCCAUAGGUUGUCUUUUUGUUUUGUUUAUGAUUUCCUUUGCUGUGCAAAAGCUUUUAAGUUUGAUUAGGUCCCAUUUGUUUAUUUUUGCUUCAUUUCUUUGCCUUGGGAGGCUGACCUAAGAAAAAACUGAUACAAUUUAUGUUAGAGAAUGUUUUGCCUAAGUUCUCUUCUGACCUCGCUAUUUAUCUUGUUGAUCCACUGAGUUUAAAAGCCAAAUCUAAGGUCCAGGAUGUCUCCCAUGGGAAAAGAUCCAGAAAUGAUCAGAAGAGGUUCUGAAAUAAGUACACACGGUAUUGAUUGUGUUAAUUCUUAGGUCACACUUUCUAAAAAAAAUUCACCCCCUGUUUCACAGUCCUUCUUGGAUUACACAACUUAGUUAAUUAAAGAGGAUUAUGUACGGAUUCCAGUAAUCCUAUUAACACAAUGGCAAUAAUAUGAAAAGCUUGAAAUCUAAAUACUUUUUGUUUUUAUUAUUAUCAAGUUUCCACCGUGAAAUUAAAACCCUUAACGUGAAAUCUUCCUUCCCAUUUCUUCUUAUUUUGCUGCUGGAACUUACACAUUCCCAACAAAAUCUUCAAAGGCUCUAAACCCAGCUCUCAUGCACGUCCAAAGUUCAGAAAGUUACAUGAGAACAUUCCCACUGCAACCUUAUACCCAGAAUUUUAUGAGCCAAAUACAGUAAGUGCAAAUUUUGCUUCAUAAUUUAGAUCUUCUCAACCUCGUAGUUCUGAGACUCAGAAAUGGUUGUGGUUUUGUGCGUGUUCCUGACAUACAGGAAGAGGCCAGGUGUGCACUUCCUAAUACAUUGCAGACUACAGUUACCAGAGGGAAUUGGUGGGGAGAUGACUGCCUAGCCAGCAUGUGAGGCCACUCUACUCAUUUCAUGUUAAAUCACAGAAUGCCCACCAACUGGAGAUGCUGAACUGUGUUAUGGAAGAAGAUACCUCUUCUGCAUCUCCUUAGGUGUGGAAAUAAUUCCUCAUCUCCAGCCUACAGAGACCAUCAUUAUAAAACAAAUUUAGCUUGCUGCUCAUAAAGUAGUUGUUAUCAUGUAUUUAUUGAGCAUAAGCUAAAUACUGGUGUAUAAAGGUGGACAAAGCAGACCUGAUUCUAGCUCUCACCAAGCUUGAAGUCUAGUGGUAGACACAGACACUGAGUAAGUGACAAAUGAAGUUAUAAUUAAAAGUUAUCGUAAGUGCUUAUAGAAGAAAAACUUCUAAAAGGUGACAUUUAAUCUGAGACCUGAAUGUGAUGGGUGGAAAGGCACUAGUCAAGGGGAAACUUUUAGGAAGAGGAUCCUAGGCAGUAGAAGGAGCAUCCAGUGAAGAAGAAAUAGUGAUUGCUUAGAUCCUGAGGCAACACAUAGGUCUCAGUUUUUGAGGACUCUCAAAACUGUGUUCUGGAGCCUGAUGAGUGAGAGAAAGUGUGGUUUGUGUGUUUGGAAGAGAGUUAAGGAGGGCAGACAAAUUGUAUAGGCUCUAUUGGCCUUAAACCAACUUAAGAAUUUUAAAUUUUAUUCUAGGUACAAUGAGACACUAUUGAAGUAUUUUCAAAACGGGAGAGUCAUGAUCUAAUGUACAUUUUAAAGGUAUCACAUGGAACCUGUUUGGAGAAUGGUUUGGAUGGUGGCCCUAGUCAAAGCGGACAAGCUAGUUGGGAAACUGCUACAACCUCCUGUUACAGAAGGUCAAGGUCAUGACUCUUAGACUAGAGUCAUGACAAUAGAAAUUGAGGGAAUCACAUGGAUUUGAGAUACAUAUUUGUAAAUAAGAUCAACAGGUUUCAGUGAUGGAUUGAAUAUGGUUGGAUAGGUAGUGGUGGUGUUUAGGGAUCAGGAUAAAGACUUUUAGUUGAAGAGAUUGUGAAGAUAAGGUAAGAGUUCAAAUUAAGAAAUUGUAAGCUUGAAAUGUCUGUGUUACAUCACAGGGACAUAAGAAGCAGAAAACUUAAUGCACUAGAUAAACUAGUCUGGAGUUCAGGGGAGAGAUUUGGGCUAGAGAUUUAAACUUGAGAUCACAGGCACAUAUACUUUUUUUUCAUGUUUUAUUUUAAAAUAAUUUCAGAUAUAAAAAAAAAAAAAAAUAGUACCAAAAAAUCUUGUAUACAUUUAGGUUUCCUAAAUGUUACAAUCUUACAUAGCCAUAGUACAAUUAUGAAAGCCAGGAAAUUACCAUUCACACAGCACUAUCUAAUAACAAACAUUAUCCAGAGUUUGUUUGCCAAUUGUCCAACUUGUGUCCUUUUUUUUAUAUCCAAAUCUAGGAUUACACAUUGCAUGUAAUUGUCGUAUCUACUCAGUCUCCUUUCAUCUAGAACGAUUCCUUUGUUGUCAUGACCAUGACAUCCUUAAAGAGUGCUGGCCAGUUGGCCAGUUAUAUUGUAAAAUGUUUCUUAAUUUGCGUCCUUAGAGUCCUCGGAGAAGGCAAUGACACCCCACUCCAGUACCCUUGCCUGGAAAAUCCCAUGGAUGGAGGAGCCUGGUGGGCUGCAGUCCAUGGGGUCGCUAAGAGUCGGACAUGACUGAGCGACUGCACUUUCACUUUCAUGCAUUGGAGAAGGAAAUGGCAGCCCACUCCAGUGUUCUUGCCUGGAGGAUCCCAGGGACGGGGGAGCCUGGUGGGCUGCCAUCUAUGGGGUCGCACAGAGUCGGACACGACUGAAGUGACUUAGCAGCAGCAGCAGCAAAGAGUCCUAACCAAUGUAAUGAGUAGAAGGGUAGCUUUAUAAACACCCACUAAAACCUUAGAUGCUGUCAGAGAAAGGCCUUCCUGCUUUGAACUCUGAGAAUUCCUGCUGCCAUGCUAGUGAAACAGGAGGGAAUGGGGCAGGGCACACCCUUUGAAAGAAUGAUGUAGCCAUAGGACACGAUAUAAAUGGUUAGAACCAACUAGGUCCACCAUGGUGGACAAGACUUCCACUAGAACUUGAGCCUUAGUAUGUGCUCAUUGUGACAAAUCAACAAGCUAAAUGACACAACCACAGGUCCCUUGAUGGUUCCAAGGUCAAACAUAAAAUGUCAACAGUGGGUGGCGGCCCAGUUGCUGGAAAAAUCCCCACCCUUGCCUUCUGAAAUGGCCUGUACUCCCUGGAGUGUGCAUGCGUGUGUGCCAAGUUGCUUCAGUCGUGUCUAACUCUUUGCAACCUGUGUGUUUCUUUCAAAAUAAAUCUACUUCCUGCCUGUCA